rnacentral:rRNA from 1 species
GACGAACGCUGGCGGCGUGCUUAACACAUGCAAGUCGAGCGGAAAGGCCACUUCGGUGGUACUCGAGCGGCGAACGGGUGAGUAACACGUGAGUAAUCUGCCCUUGGCUUUGGGAUAGCCACCGGAAACGGUGAUUAAUACCGGAUACGACCACUCCAGGCAUCUGGUGGUGGUGGAAAGUUUUUCGGCCAGGGAUGUGCUCGCGGCCUAUCAGCUUGAUGGUGAGGUAAUGGCUCACCAUGGCUUCGACGGGUAGCCGGCCUGAGAGGGUGACCGGUCACACUGGGACUGAGACACGGCCCAGACUCCUACGGGAGGCAGAAGUGGGGAAUAUUGGACAAUGGGCGGAAGCCUGAUCCAGCAACGCCGCGUGAGGGAUGACGGCCUUCGGGUUGUAAACCUCUUUCGGUAGGGACGAAGCGCAAGUGACGGUACCUACUAAAGAAGCACCGGCCAACUACGUG